rnacentral:tRNA from 1 species
CGGAUGUAGCCAAGGGUCAAGGCCG